GCUUCCGGCGAAUAUAUUGCAUUGUUCGACUACUGGGAAAUUGUGUUAGUCAUGGCAAAUGAUCAUAUCAAUUAGUAAUCGAUUGCAUUUGAUCAAAUGGUUUUAAUGUACUCAGUAUCUUAAUAUAUCUCAAACUGUUAACUAGUUUCGUUAUAGAAGUAUGCGAUGAGUGCUCGAUUCUCUAGGAAAAAAAGAUUUAUUUUCACUCGUUGAAAGAUGACAUGAAUAAUGGUAUAUUCCAAGUAGCGCCACGCACUAAGGAAAUAGGAUUUCGAUCUAUAGGCCGUUCGAUAGGAACUGCUUGCGAUUCUCGAAAGCGUCAGUGGCGUUGGCACAAUUUAGUCAGCACAAGUACCUCAGAAUGUGUAAAAAUCCAGAGACACAGUAUAUUAAUCAGCUGUAUAGGAGAAAAAGAUAUAUUGAAGGUCAUUUCGAUAUCGUGAAAGAUUAAACAGAAUCCUAUGAAACCUCAAUGGCGAAAGUAAACGAAGUAAUAGAGUACAUAUUUUGAUGUUUAUAAAUUGGAGAAUACAUUAAAAACUGAUGAUAAUUAAUCGUAGGAAAGAAGUGGCUUUUCUAACUUGAAACUUGGACAAAAGUCACUCAUAGGGGUUGAAAAGAGUGAUUUCUCCAGGUUACAAGAUCCAAGUGGCAACCCAGUGUAUCAGCAAGGCGUAACAAGUGUCUGUGUGACGUCACGCGGCUUUCUGGAGGCGGAGCCUGUGAUCGCGGGAGCAGGUGGGGGUGGGACUCUCCCGCAUCGUGGAUCGUUUGCCCCACCCUCGGGAUUUUGUUCCUUCGUACCACCGCCACCUUCAACCUCUUCCUUUUCUCCCCCGUCGUCUCUUUUACUCUCUUUUGAACUUUGUUCGGUGACCCCCCACCUGUCUCUACUCUACCAAGUUGCAAGAACACCGAACUGCCACAAAAUACUCGAGUAAGCUGUAAUCAAAUAACCGUUGACCCUUUGAAGUUAACCGAUGAAGUCAAACGAUCCAGCCCGACGACGCACCGAUAUUACUUGAUACGUAACUUCGUUGAAGUCGGAAAGAAUUUUCCCGGAAUACAUACGCGAAAAGAUGGUGUAAGGCGCUUUAGAGGUCUCCGGUCGGCGUGUUCCCGCAACGCUACCGUUUAUUGCACUGUGGUCUGCUAAAGUGCAAUCGAGGAAGCAAAAUGCGGUUUCACUCGUUCGUGCGGGGCUCGCAAGAAUGUAAUUAACCCCUCGGAAGUGGCACGGUGCUUCGACCCGUGGCCGAUUUUACCUGCGUUUUCUUAUCUCUCUGUCUUUAAAAGUGAGAAGCGCGGACGAGGGACACCUCGCCGAUCGGUUUUGUCGGUUCACACCGAUCUACCGCAAAAAUCGGGUCUGCGUGUCGUGAAACCGCAAUUACUUACGCGAAAGACGCCGGCCAGAUCUAUCGCAGUUGUCACGUGUGUUUAUGGUUGUUCGGCCAUGAUGUAAUCCCAUUGUUUUUUACUUGAUUUUUCUAAUCUGUAAGUUGAGACUUUUUCUUUUAAUUGGAUAGUUUGCUUCUUUUAAUAAGAAAAUGUAUAAAUAAUGUGGUAAUUCGUGGUUAGGAAUGCUUAAUAGAUACAAUAGUUAGAGAGUGUUACUUGUCUUGUAAAUUAAUGAUCAAUUAAGAUGAGAUCUUUUGAAAUAAAUUUUCUUUGGUAGCAUUGUAUUGUAGUUAGUAUAUUUCUUUUAACAGAAAAUUGUACAAAUCGUGUGGUUAUAGAUAUGUAACAGAUAGCGAUUGUUACUUAUCCUAUGAAUUAGUGAUUAAUUCGAUUUUUUGAAAUGAAAUAUAGGAAUUGUGCGAUAUUUUCAAAGUAACGUCGGAUUGUAAAGCUCGUUAUUAGGUGAGCGAGAUAACAGAUUAAUGGGCGGAGGGAAAGCAGAAACAUUUUUUACGCUUUUUAUCAGGAUGACGACAUCGCUUGGAAACGAUACCGGUGGCCAGCGCCACCGGAAGGGCUUCGUAAGACACACUUAUCGACAACUCGAUUCUCAGAAAAUAGUGUCUCGUGAAAAGGGUUUUCCCCUGAUAACUUUGGUAAUCGAAGAAUUCUUAAUGCGAUAUGUUCGAACUCAUUAAUCAUGUACAUGUCGAAAUAAUCUUCCGAAGAUUUGUCCACGAAAAUCUGCUUCCUUUAACUAUGGAAUUUAGUUUCAAUGGAAAAUAGAUAGAAAGAGAUCGUAAGUAGAGGUUUCCUAAAUUCAACAGAAUCUUGUUAACUAGAUAAGAAACUUUAAAUUUUAUUAUGAAAUAUAGCGAAGAGAAUUUUAUUAAUAUUGUGUAAAGAUCUUUUUACUUGGUUAAAUUUUGUCUGAGAAAAGGGAUCGUGCAAGCGGACGUAAGUUAAUCUGCCUUUUGCGUAAAAGCCGAGCUAAUGAACUAUAAAUAAGGGAGGAAUACUUACGGCAAGUGGACAGCCGCACUUACUGACCCUUCGUAAUUAAAAUCCCGCCCUAAAUCAGGACUAGGGACGCGAUUAGACGACCUCUCUUCCUCUCUUCUGUAAAACCCAAAUCUGCGACCCUUAGCUCCUUCGACCCGUUCUCCCUUCGUUCUUACGUUCACGCACUCUCGGAUCGUCUG